AGUGAACGCUGGCGGCAUGCCUUAUACAUGCAAGUCGAACGGUAACAGGUCUUCGGAUGCUGACGAGUGGCGAACGGGUGAGUAAUACAUCGGAACGUGCCUAGUAGUGGGGGAUAACUACUCGAAAGAGUGGCUAAUACCGCAUGAGAUCUACGGAUGAAAGCAGGGGAUCGCAAGACCUUGUGCUACUAGAGCGGCCGAUGGCAGAUUAGGUAGUUGGUGGGAUAAAAGCUUACCAAGCCGACGAUCCGUAGCUGGUCUGAGAGGACGAUCAGCCACACUGGGACUGAGACACGGCCCAGACUCCUACGGGAGGCAGCAGUGGGGAAUUUUGGACAAUGGGCGCAAGCCUGAUCCAGCAAUGCCGCGUGCAGGAUGAAGGCCUUCGGGUUGUAAACUGCUUUUGUACGGAACGAAAAGCCCUGGGUUAAUACCCUGGGGUCAUGACGGUACCGUAAGAAUAAGCACCGGCUAACUACGUGCCAGCCGCCGCAGUAACAC
rnacentral:rRNA from 1 species